rnacentral:rRNA from 1 species
UACGUAGGGUCCGAGCGUUGUCCGGAAUUACUGGGCGUAAAGAGCUCGUAGGUGGUUUGUCGCGUUGUUCGUGAAAACUCACAGCUCAACUGUGGGCGUGCGGGCGAUACGGGCAGACUAGAGUACUGCAGGGGAGACUGGAAUUCCUGGUGUAGCGGUGGAAUGCGCAGAUAUCAGGAGGAACACCGGUGGCGAAGGCGGUUCUCUGGGCCUUACCUGAACACUGGAGGAGCGGAAAAGCAUGGGGAGCGAACAGG